ACACCGGCAGCUCUAGUGGUAGCAAUUUUUAUUGGGCCUAAAGCGUCCGUAGCCGGUUUAAUAAGUCUCUGGUGAAAUCCUGCAGCUUAACUGUGGGAAUUGCUGGAGAUACUAUUAGACUUGAGACCGGGAGAGGUUAGAGGUACUCCCAGGGUAGAGGUGAAAUUCUGUAAUCCUGGGAGGACCGCCUGUUGCGAAGGCGUCUAACUGGAACGGUUCUGACGGUGAGGGACGAAAGGUAGGGGCGCGAACCGGAUUAGAUACCCGGGUAGUCCUAACUGUAAACGAUGCGGACUUGGUGUUGGGGUGGCUUUGAGCUGCUCCAGUGCCGAAGGGAAGCUGUUAAGUCCGCCGCCUGGGAAGUACGGUCGCAAGACUGAAACUUAAAGGAAUUGGCGGGG
rnacentral:rRNA from 1 species